UACGAAGGGGGCUAGCGUUGUUCGGAUUUACUGGGCGUAAAGCGCACGUAGGCGGAUCUUUAAGUCAGAGGUGAAAUCCCAAGGCUCAACCUUGGAACUGCCUUUGAUACUGGGGAUCUUGAGUCCGGGAGAGGUGAGUGGAACUGCGAGUGUAGAGGUGAAAUUCGUAGAUAUUCGCAAGAACACCAGUGGCGAAGGCGGCUCACUGGCCCGGUACUGACGCUGAGGUGCGAAAGCGUGGGGAGCAGACGAGG
rnacentral:rRNA from 1 species